AAAUUUUAUCUGCUAUUGACAGUGUUGUUAUCGAGAUAUGCGUUUGCUGUAUCGUUAUUAAAACUUUAAAUAGAAGGGAUAAAUAGCAAAAUUUAUCAGGAGGAAGCAUGGACAGUGACGUUCAGAGGUGCGGAAGGUUGAUUGACCAGGUGGACAGCAAAUGGAGGGAGGACAAAUUACCCGAUGAAGAUAUAGCUGUGCCUCUAAUUGAACUGCCUGACCCAGAACCAGAUAAUGGUAAUCCCCAUGAAACAUUGAAAGAACAAGAACAGAAAUGGACAGAUCUAGGACUGAAUAGGAUAAAUGAUCAAUCCCAGACAGGCCGAAUUCCCAGUAAUUAAACCAGAGUCAGAAGCGGAAAUGUGUGCGACAAAAGACUGAUUUUUUGCAACUACUGUGUCACACAAUUCGGAGUGAAAAAUAAUCAUUCCUCGUUUUAUUCUGACGUUUUUGUUUUGUAAAAAACCAAUAAAAUCAUUUGCUUAUUUG